UACGUAGGGUGCGAGCGUUAAUCGGAAUUACUGGGCGUAAAGCGUGCGCAGGCGGUUCGUUAAGUCAGAUGUGAAAGCCCCGGGCUCAACCUGGGAACUGCAUUUGAAACUGGCGGGCUUGAGUAUGGCAGAGGGGGGUGGAAUUCCGCGUGUAGCAGUGAAAUGCGUAGAGAUGCGGAGGAAUACCAGUGGCGCAAGCGGCGCUCUGGGUCGAGCCUGACACUGAGACGCGAAGGCAUGGGGAGCGAACGGG
rnacentral:rRNA from 1 species